AUGGAUACCAAUCAACCGGCUGAUGGUUCCGAUGAUGAAGCUGAAGCAAGUAUCAGUGAUCCUUCCUCCGUCUACACACUAGAUCACUACCUUGUCCAGAUGGACAUGUUAGACUCAUUCGCCAAGGAGAUCGCAAUAGAAGUGAAGGAGAACCUCGACGCUCAAGGAAGAUCAAGCAGAAGUGGUCCGAGGAUUUACGUGAACAGGCCACGUGAAGAAGCUGCUGAGCAAUUGGUACGCGACUAUUUCUGUGAUAAUCCUAUCUACAAGAAUAAGGUAUUUCAUAGAAGAUUCCGGAUGAGAAGGCCCCUUUUUGAGUGUAUCAUACAUGCACUAGGAGAGUGGUCUCCAGAGUUCAUGCAAAGGAAAGAUGCUCUUGCCCGUGAUGGACUAUCUCCAUCGCAGAAAUGCACAUCAGCUAUUCGCCAAUUGGCAUAUGGUACUCCGGCCGACGCUCUCGAUGAGUACCUUAAGAUUGCCGAGUGCACAUAA
rnacentral:rRNA from 1 species